GAUGAAGAACGCAGCGAAAUGCGAUACGUAAUGUGAAUUGCAGAAUUCAGUGAAUCAUCGAGCCUUUGAACGCACAUUGCGCCCUCUGGUAUUCCGGAGGGCAUGCCUGCCCGAGCGUCAUUGCUGCCCUCAAGCACGGCUUGUGUGUUGGGCUCCGUCCCCCGAUCCCGGGGGACGGGCCCGAAAGGCAGCGGCGGCACCGCGUCCGGUCCUCGAGCGUAUGGGGCUUUGUCACCCGCUCUGUAGGCCCGGCCGGCGCUUGCCGAUCAACCAAAUUUUUAUCCAGGUUGACCUCGGAUCAGGUAGGGAUACCCGCUGAACUUAAGCAUAUCAUAAGCGGAGGA
rnacentral:misc_RNA from 1 species